GACGAACGCUGGCGGCGUGCUUAACACAUGCAAGUCGAACGAUGAAGCCCAGCUUGCUGGGUGGAUUAGUGGCGAACGGGUGAGUAACACGUGAGCAACGUGCCCGAAACUCUGGAAUAACUACCGGAAACGGUGGCUAAUACUGGCUAUGUGCCAGGGAGGCAUCUCCUCUGGUUGGAAAGAUUUUUCGGUUUCGGAUCGGCUCACGGCCUAUCAGCUUGUUGGUGGGGUAAUGGCCUACCAAGGCGACGACGGGUAGCCGGCCUGAGAGGGUGACCGGCCACACUGGGACUGAGACACGGCCCAGACUCCUACGGGAGGCAGCAGUGGGGAAUAUUGCACAAUGGGCGCAAGCCUGAUGCAGCAACGCCGCGUGAGGGAUGACGGCCUUCGGGUUGUAAACCUCUUUUAGUAGGGAAGAAGCGCAAGUGACGGUACCUGCAGAAAAAGCACCGGCUAACUACGUG
rnacentral:rRNA from 1 species